rnacentral:pre_miRNA from 1 species
AGUGGAAUAGCUGGGUCAUAUGGUGGUUUAAUUCCUACUCGUUUGAGAAAUAUCCACACUGUUAUCCAAAGUGGUUGUACUAAUUUGCAGUCCCACCAGCAAU